AAUGUAAUUGCUGGGUCAUAUGGUAAUUCUAUAUUUAUCUUUUUGAGGAACUGCCAAGCUAUUUUCUAUAGUGACUGCCCCAUUUUAUAUUCCCACCAGCAAU
rnacentral:pre_miRNA from 1 species